rnacentral:rRNA from 1 species
UACGUAGGGGGCUAGCGUUGUCCGGAAUCAUUGGGCGUAAAGCGCGUGUAGGCGGCUCGGUAAGUCCGCUCUGAAAGCCCGGGGCUCAACCCCGGGAGGCGGGUGGAUACUGUCGAGCUCGAGUCCGGAAGAGGCAAGUGGAAUUCCCGGUGUAGCGGUGAAAUGCGCAGAUAUCGGGAGGAACACCAAUGGCGAAGGCAGCCCCCUGGGUCAAGAUUGACGCUCAUGCACGAAAGCGUGGGGAGCAAACAGG